AUUGAACGCUGGCGGCAGGCUUAACACAUGCAAGUCGAGCGGGGUGAUGGUGCUUGCACUAUCACUUAGCGGCGGACGGGUGAGUAAUGCUUAGGAAUCUGCCUAUUAGUGGGGGACAACAUCUCGAAAGGGAUGCUAAUACCGCAUACGUCCUACGGGAGAAAGCAGGGGAUCACUUGUGACCUUUCGCUAAUAGAUGAGGCUAAGUCGGAUUAGCUAGUUGGUGGGGUAAAGGCCUACAAAGGCGACGAUCUGUAGCGGGUCUGAGAGGAUGAUCCGCCACACUGGGACUGAGACACGGCCCAGACUCCUACGGGAGGCAGCAGUGGGGAAUAUUGGACAAUGGGGGGAACCCUGAUCCAGCCAUGCCGCGUGUGUGAAGAAGGCCUUAUGGUUGUAAAGCACUUUAAGCGAGGAGGAGGCUCUUUUGGUUAAUACCCAAGAUGAGUGGACGUUACUCGCAGAAUAAGCACCGGCUAACUCUGUGCCAGCAGCCGCCGUAA
rnacentral:rRNA from 1 species